AUUGAACGCUGGCGGCAGGCCUAACACAUGCAAGUCGAACGGCAGCACAGAAGAGCUUGCUCUUUGGGUGGCGAGUGGCGGACGGGUGAGUAAUGUCCGGGAAACUGCCCGAUGGAGGGGGAUAACUACUGGAAACGGUAGCUAAUACCGCAUAACGUCGCGAGACCAAAGUGGGGGACCUUCGGGCCUCACACCAUCGGAUGUGCCCAGAUGGGAUUAGCUAGUAGGUGGGGUAAUGGCUAACCUAGGCGACGAUCCCUAGCUGGUCUGAGAGGAUGACCAGCCACACUGGAACUGAGACACGGUCCAGACUCCUACGGGAGGCAGCAGUGGGGAAUAUUGCACAAUGGGCGCAAGCCUGAUGCAGCCAUGCCGCGUGUAUGAAGAAGGCCUUCGGGUUGUAAAGUACUUUCAGCGGGGAGGAAGGCGGUGAGGUUAAUAACCUCGCCGAUUGACGUUACCCGCAGAAGAAGCACCGGCUAACUCCGUGCCAGCAGCCGCAGUAA
rnacentral:rRNA from 1 species